AGCGAACGUUAGCGGCGGGCUUAACACAUGCAAGUCGAACGAGAAUGAGGGAGCAAUCCCUCUAGUAAAGUGGCGGACGGGUGCGUAACACGUGGGUAAUCUACCUUCCGGCGGGGGACAACAGUCCGAAAGGAUUGCUAAUACCGCGUACGUCGGCGAGGGCUCCGGCCCUUGGCGGGACAGUCGGCCUCUCCUUGGAAGCUGUCACCGGAAGAUGAGCCCGCGGCCCAUCAGCGAGUUGGUAGGGUAACGGCCUACCAAGGCUUAGACGGGUAGCUGGUCUGAGAGGAUGAUCAGCCACACUGGGACUGCGACACGGCCCAGACUCCUACGGGAGGCAGCAGUGGGGAAUAUUGGGCAAUGGGCGAAAGCCUGACCCAGCCACGCCGCGUGAGUGAUGAAGGCCUUCGGGUCGUAAAGCUCUGUGGGGAGGGACGAACAAGCGCUGAGCUAAUACCCAGCGUUCUGACGGUACCUCCUUAGCAAGCACCGGCUAACCAUGUGCCAGCAGCCGCGGUAAAAC
rnacentral:rRNA from 1 species